CCAUGUCUGACCAUCUCCCCUCACUGCCUAGGAUAGAGCCCAGCCCUUAGUCAACCCUCAGUAAAUGUUGAGGAGUAAAUAUGUUGCUUUUACUCUGUGCUUUCUGGUCUCUUGGGAUGCAGAAAGAGGCAGGGCACCCUCCAUCACACACUCUCUUUGGAACCUGCGUGGUGCUCUCCCUCCCUCUGAUUUCCUGUCCACUACCCCACACUGAAUCCAGUCCUGCGGUCCAAAUGCCUCUUGCCUCCAUCUGUCUUGCAUGCCCACAUCCCUGCCUCAGCCACCCUAGUGACCUCACAGCUGACUUGCUUGUUUUCAUUCCCGCACCCCCCAACCCCGCCACCCCUCCGGGUCCCACGCUAAUAACUUCACUCUGUUCUCAAAAAUUUUCACAAUGCCAAGGAAUGGAGUAUAAAUACAGCUAGGCAUUUGAGGUUCCUCACAGAUAGGCCUAAACAGAUCUUUCAAACACGAGCUCCUUCUCUCCUCUCUUCUCAGACAUUUAGGUCUCUUCCUUAAACAUUUCCCCCAUUCCUGUCUCUCUCUGCUCCCUCCCGGCUUUGUCCCCAUCAAAGCCUUUUCCAACCUCGGUGCCCAGCUGGUAGGCAGCCUUCUCCAUGAGCUCCAUGACCAUCCCACCAGUCAAGUGGGCCUUCCUUCCUUUGAAUUGAUUCAGCGGGUUGUUGGUGCUGCUCUUCCAGCACUUGCCAUAGAUUGUCUUACUUCCCUAAUGGACUAUAAACCCCUUGAGGGCAAGGUCUGGCCUUUAUACCCCAGAAAACACUUCGCACUAGACUUGCACAUAGAGAAGGCCCCAUAUAUGCCUGACGGGUCAUGGAAUGUCACCGUUCAUCCAAGCCUUCUCUGUGCCCUGGGAGCCAUUUGUGCACAGCCUGAGUUUUGCCCCCCACAUCUUCCGGUUUCCUGGGCCUGCCUGCUGUGGAGCGCUCAUGGGUGCUGCACCGGGUCUAACAGCUUGGCUGCAAGAAACUGAAGCUAACGCUGCUUUUCCCCAAGGCAGCAAAUAGGCAGCCUCUCCCCCAGGCGAGGCUGCCCUGGGGCCCGGCGGAGUGACUCAGGUCCGAAACCAGGAUGGCCAUGCCUGAUUGCUGGGCCAGGUGGCCCCAAGGAGAGGCUGGCACAGUGACACGCCUCUCUCAGUGUGGGCCGCCUGGACACCCUCACUUUCUUCCAGCAUGGGGUGCCUGGGCCCCCCUCCUUCCCAAAGAGGCCCGGAAGAAGGAGUCAUACAGGGGACAGGCUCAGCUGUGGGAGGCUGGAGCAAAAAAGCCAAUAAAACCUGCUUUAUUUAUAAUGUUCCCCUGUUUGUUAUUCUGUUAUCCCUACUCUGUUUCCUCAGAGCAAUGAAACAAGGAAAAGGAUUAAAGAAAAAAAACCCUGCUCUAAGUAUGCAGGAACCGUAUGGCCUCCCUCGCCUCCCUCGCCCCCUCCUCCCCACUAGGGUUGCCUGUGAAUUCCUCUCCCAGGCUGCGUGUUUUCCAUCCAAACUUUUAUGGCACUUCCCUCCAUUAAUGGUUAACGUAUUCAUUCUCUCCCCUCCGCCCCCAUUAUCAAAGAGUGCUUUGAAUAACCAUUAACUCCCUGGUUAACAGAAAGAAACACGUUAAUCAUCUACGGGCCCUUGGGCAGGAAAAUUAUUCUUUGUAACCAUCUCCCAACGGCAGGGGAGCCCCCGCUCCCCGCAGCUGACCUUCAACCACACCUGGGUCUAGAAACUUGCAAAACUCCUAUGGUAAUCGUGUUCCAAGGGCUUAUUAGGAAGGCAAGGUCAUAAACCGCUGAGCGGGAGUGACGCUGGUGCUCUGCUGUCCAGGCAGAGAGGGCUUCUUUCAAUCCAGCCAGCCUUGCUCCCGGACCCUAGAAAGAGGCCAGGCUGCACCGCUUUAAAAAAAUUGUUUUGCAAGGGAGGGCUAAUCUAUUGUACAUUCUUUGAUGCUGGGAGACUCGGAGUGGCUGUACAGGCUGUUCUUUCUCGCAGCCAUAGUUCAAAAGUGCUCCUGACCCAAACACACGCAUGUUGUAAUCCUGCCCUCCCUUUGUGUGGGCUGGGACCACGACUAGGAAGCGUCUCCCUGCAGCAGCGCUGAGUGGCCGGGAUCCACAGGCCAGACGCUGGGAGGGUGACCUCCUUCUGAAGUUAGCCCCAGGUGCUCUCGUGGUUGUUUUCUGGGUCAUCCUUGGGAUCUGGUGUCCAGGCCGUCAGCAAGAUUCAGCAGACGUUCCUCAGUGCUCUGGCUCGUCUUUUCGCCAUUCACACAGACACCCCUGGGAACAUGGGACAGGAGCUGGGGCCUCUUGUUCAUGCUCUGGUUAUAGCGCCCAGCAGCGUACGCCGGCCCCUCGAAAAUGGCACCAGAGGUGUGAUGGGAGAUUAGCUGAACAGAGAGAAGACUCAGCAAGCACAUCACCUUGAAGUUGACCUGUCAGCCAGAUUUCACAGCACCUGCCUGUUCCAGCCUGAGGGGCUGCGAUUCAUUCCUUGGGACAGAGAGCCGCAAAUUCUGCCUUUAGGCCACAGUUCAAGUCCUUGCCACUCUCUCCCAGGCUUUGAAGGACACAAGAGAGACAACUCUAAGGCAGGGGAAUUCUUCCCAGGGAAGCUUUUCCACUCGAAUUAGCUUUUAUGACACCUUCAAGCCAUCUCUAAGAAUCUGGUCUUUUGACAUGUGCGAAUAUUCACAUCUCUAUAUAUAAACAUUAAAAUCUGCAUCAGAAUCUACAUGCUUGUUGAGCCUCCUGGAGACUGGGUCCUGAGUGGUAUGCUCCCCUUCCCAAGCCCUCUGGAGCAGGGACCCCUGGAUUGGAGGCAGUGGGAAGAAUCCUGGUGAAUCAGGUGUUCCUGUCCAUUUGCAUAAACUGAGCGCCCUGCCUGCCAACCCCACACGCUGAGUACUGCUGGGAAGAAGUGAAGAAACAUUUAUCAAAGGGCAGGAAAAAUUAGGGCCUUUUCAUUAAGAUCAGAAGAUUUUUGAGGUUGGAUUAGCUGCCCAGGUGCAUGACCAAUUUUCUUGGCUCCUUGGAAGCAGGAAAGUAUUUGAAAAAUAAUAGAGUCCUUAGUCCUGUAAGUAAAGACCCAUUUAUCUCGGGAAUUAAAAAAAAAGUGCUGGGGAUGGGAAUUUUCCGAUGAGAUGCA